UUGUUGUUCUCACCUGAUGCUGUCGUUCUUGCAACCCGUCUGAUAUUGCAACUGUCUGUAAGUGGAAGCGUUUCUUCUAACCGCGAGCAGACCAGUCGGUCUCGUUUGACAUGUCAAAGAGUGAAGACGCUGCCUUGCAUGUGAAGCCAAAUCGUUCUUCGCCUUCAGGAUUCUUGCCGUUUCAGGGAUCUGCACAACGACAGGGAGAUAGAACGCCAAGAGAAGUCGACUGUAUGCUUUGUGCAGACGGUUCAGCGUGUAUGACGCAGCGGCCUCCAGCAAGAGAAACUCAAGCACCGUGUUCAAAUGCGGUGGGGACUCUUGCUCGACAUGACAACGCUUAGAAGUGCUUUUUCGGAAGAAGGACAAGUUGGACCGGAAAUGAGGACCUAGGUGUGCUCUUUUGCGUUGUUGUUCACCGUUCGAUCAUUACCAAUUUUCGUGCCCCCGUGAGUUCAACGCUCAGGUAUGUUGAUGAUAACUGGAUAUGCGUUAAAAGGUACGUACUCCGGAGUGGUGAAUUGUUGUGGUGAAGUGAUUUGUUGCUGCUAUCUCCUGUUUCGUGAGGGUUCUUGUCGGUACUCAUAUACCGCAGGCAUGAGGGGCUUUCUUUGCAGAACAUUUCAGUAAACCAAGACUGCAGCAUUUUCAAG